CCUACGGGUGGCAGCAGUGGGGAAUAUUGCACAAUGGGGGCAACCCUGAUGCAGCGACGCCGCGUGAGUGAAGAAGCAUUUCGUCAUGUAAAGCCCUAUCAGCAGGGAAGAAAAUGACGGUACCUGACCAAGAAGCCCCGGCUAACUACGUGCCAGCCGCCGCGGUAAUACGUAGGGGGCAAGCGUUAUCCGGAUUUACUGGGUGUAAAGGGAGCGUAGACGGCAGUGCAAGUCAGGAGGGAAAGGCGGGGGCUCAACCCCCGGACUGCUUUGGAAACUGUAGGGCUGGAGUGCAGGAGAGGCAAGUGGAAUUCCUAGUGUAGCGGUGAAAUGCGUAGAUAUUAGGAGGAACACCAGUGGCGAAGGCGGCUUGCUGGACUGUAACUGACGUUGAGGCUCGAAAGCGUGGGGAGCAAACAGGAUUAGAGACCCCUGUAGUC
rnacentral:rRNA from 1 species